GUUCUCUUAUGGCUCAAGUUCGUUGAAAGUUUUUAUCAUCAAUGUUCCUAAUGUCAUGCAGUAAAGCAGAAUAUGGCUCUUUAGCAUUUCCCAUCUCCCUGUGAUUCCAGAAUUAGAAAUCAUUCAGGGCUUGACUGGUGGUGUUCCACUG